rnacentral:pre_miRNA from 1 species
UUAGCUCAUAUUUGUAUGGAGUGGGAUCGUUUGCGUACGUUUGCCGUUAGGGGCGCUGUUCCAACUGCAUACAAAAUUGGCUUA